rnacentral:lncRNA from 1 species
AGGCGCAGGCGCGGAGGGGCGCGCCCGAACCCGAACCCUAAUGCCGUCAUAAGAGCCCUAGGGAGACCUUAGGGAACAAGCAUUAAACUGACACUCGAUUCUGUAGCCGGCUCUGCCAAGAGACAUGGCGUUGCGGUGAUAUGAGGGCAGGGGUCAUGGAAGAAAGCCUUCUGGUUUUAGACCCACAGGAAGAUCUGUGACGCGCUCUUGGGUAGAGCACACGUUGCUGGGCGUGCGCUUGAAAAGAGCCUAAGAAGAGGGGGCGUCUGGAAGGAACCGCAACGCCAAGGGAGGGUGUCCAGCCUUCCCGCUUCAACACCUGGACACAUUCUGGAAAGUUUCCUAAGAAAGCCAGAAAAAUAAUUUAAAAAAAAAUCCAGAGGCCAGACGGGCUAAUGGGGCUUUACUGCGACUAUCUGGCUUAAUCCUCCAAACAACCUUGCCAUACCAGCCCAUCAGUCCUCUGAGACAGGCAAGCCCAAGAAAGUCAGGGGCCUAUGUGAGCCAAAGAGGAGAGAAGGUGAUGCCUCAGCCCAGUGUUUCUGCCCCACCUCGCUUGUGGCCUUCGGAACUUGAUUUGCACCGCAGGAAAAUGGGCAAUGAAAACCCCUCCCUAACUGGCUUCUCAGUCCACUCUGACCAGCCCACUGCACAGCGCCCACCCUGCAGCUCCAGAUGAGGCCUCACUCUGUCACCCAGGUUGGGGUGGAGUGGCACAGUCACAGCUCACUAUAACCUCAAGCUCCUGGGCUCAAGUGAUCCUGCCACCUCAGCCUCCUAAGUAGCUGGAACUACAGAUGUGCACUGCCAUGCCAGGCUUGUCUAACAUUUUUAUGUGUUGCUUCAUCCAGUUUGCUAGAGUUUUUGGAGAUUUCUGUCUUCAUUCAUGAGGGAUAAUAGUCUGCACUUUUAUUUUCUUGUGAUACUUUUGUCUGAUUUGUUAUCUGGGUAAUACUGGCCUUGAAAAUGAAUUGAUGUUUUCCUGCUUCUCUGCUUUGCAAGUGUUUGUGAAGGAUUGGUUAUUCAUUAAGUGUUUAAUAGAAUUCACUAGUGAAGCUAUGUGAGCCAGGGCUAGACUGAUGAAGAGUUUUCAUUAGUCUAAUCUGUUUACUUGCUGUAUAAGUACGCAUAUAUUCUCUUUCUUCUUGAUUUAAUUUUACACUUUGUGUAUAGCAGGGAAUCUGUGUCUAAUUUGUAGUAUUUCAUGCUUCUAGGUUUUCAUGGCAGUUGAGAUGUAAGAAUAACAAUAAUGUUGGGAGAAGGAAGUUGUGGACAAUCCAUGAAUAUCCCAACAUCUGUUGUAGGAAGGUUAAGAUUACUUUUUUUUUUUUUGCUGUACUGAACUGAAUACUCUUAUUUAUAAUGUCAGACAAAUGUAAUGUUGUAUAUAAAUAGAACUAGGAAAAUGUGCCAUUUGUCUUAGUAUUUAAUCAAGAUGGAAGUCUGGGCCUACCUCCUCUCUUUUAUUAAUAUGUAGACA